rnacentral:tRNA from 1 species
GGCCCCAUGGUGUAGUGGCAACACGGCUGGUUUUGGCCCAGCAGUCCUGAGUUCGAUUCUUGGUAGGGCCG